UAGAUUUGGGAUGAAGCUGAUACCACUGACGUUUCUGAUUUGCCAUGACCUCAGGAUUAAAAUUUGGCAGGGAAUUUUCAUCGCGGGAUCUGCCACUCCACCGCCAGGCCUUUUGCACGUGACACUUCAACUUCUGAAAGCUACUACUACGUUGAAAUCCUUUAGUAACAAGUUCACUUUGACAGCGUCUAUGAGCACCAGGCCCCAUUUGUGGCAUGCUUGACCCAACACCAUCACCGCCGCCGCCACCACUGGAGUACAUAUUCUGCCAUGCUUCCCCAGCAACUCUGAAUGCUCCCUCAGAUAACUGAUGCAGAACCCACAUCGGCGACGAGGGCCUCUCCUCAUUAGGUUCGGCCUCUUCUUUUGUGUCCAUAUUUAUAUACACCUAGCUCAUGCUCCCAAGUUUCACUUCAACAUUCAAAGGCAGCCUCAAAAUUACAACACCAUAACAUACCAUUCCACUGAAUUUUAUAAUUCUACCACAUAAUAAUUUGAAAUGAGGAUACCCUAUCAAUUAUUCCAAAGGUCCUAACUUUCUCACACAUAACUGAACCCCAAUGAACGUUUGAUAAAAUUCAAUGAUGAGAUAAUCUUAUGAUUCUUCUGGGGUGGUAGAUUCUGUUAUAUUUUUCCUCUUUCCUUUUCAAAAAUUCAAACUUUUCCACCAGAAUAAUAAUGGGCACCAACCUGUUUCUGAAUUCUGAAACGAAGAAUAAUAAUAAUUGCCAAUUCUGCUAUUAAUGGCAGCAAAACCGUGCAAAGAAUGAAAGAGGCGAAUCAAACAAUUUACACCGCCAACAAUGAGCAACGUAUGUUACUUGUAACGGAAACAAGAGUCAAUAAAUGCAGGGAAAUUGACAAGCAUGCAACAUGGCAGGCGUUGUGAUGAUGGGAAGAAAACCAGAAGGAACAAAAUGUACCUCUUUUUUGGUGGUUCCUAAGGCUUCUUGACAGGACAGAGCGAGAGGAGGGGGAGUAGAGAGAGAGAUGCUAAAUAUAGAGGUGGAAGAGGGAAGAAGGAGAUGGUUAUUUUGGUUGUCAUAGGUGAGAGGGGGAAUGAACCUGUGAAUAUGAAAGUUUGAAUAAAAACAAAGGAAAAUGAGACACACUUGGGGGAUUUGGGUUUGACACCCCACCCUUUAGGCUACGCGCCCCAGCAUUUUUUUUUAUUCCAAAACUACCCAUCGGUAAAUGAUUUGCCGAUGUCAAAAUAACAAUCGGUAAAUGCUAGGUGGAUAUUUGAACAAAAUCUGCAGGUUCACAAAAUGAUAUUAUCUGCAAAGAACCUAUUGUUCAUAGCAAUAGACUAAAUUGUAAACAUAAAUAGGGAAGAAUAGGUUACUGUCAUGAACCAAUUAUUCCAAAAGCUUAAGCUGUUAGUAAAUGACACACGAAUGGUUUUAUAUUAUACUUAUAACAUGCCUCCUCACACAAGAACACACUUGGGCUAGAAACGUCGACAAUGCACAGACUCACCUACCAUGUGCUGAAAUUUAACUUUAUUGGAAUAUAUGGGAGCGGCAACAAGGACCGAACUCUAGACCACUUGGUCAUAGAGGCUAUGAUACCCUGUCAUGAACCAACUAUCCCAAAAUCUUAACUUGUUGGCUAAAGGACACACGAAUGGUUUUAUAUUAUACUUCUAACAGUUACAGUUUGUAAGCUAAGAAAUUUUGUGGAGUUAAUAUUAAAAAUACCUAAGAGAACCAGACACCAGAUAUGUAUAAUGCCAAUUAAUAUUUCUUAUUCUUUGUUUCCUUCUAUUUACUCUGCUUUGGAGGAUAUCGUAUCUUCCCUAGUUGUACUUUCUUCUUGUUCUCUCUAACAAAAAAAAUUUCCCUCUCAGAUAUAUGUAUGAAAAAGACUGAUAUGUAAUAAACCUGAGGUUCCAAAGUUGGUUCUGCUGGCUUCUGUUGCUGCAACAUUUUCAAAUCUGGAAAUUCACAUCUUUCCUUUUCCCACUUCUUCCUUCUUGCAAAUGCAUCCUCCACGACUUCCAAAUUAGCAUCUGGAUGCAGCCCCACAAUCACAAAAUGUUCAAACAGCGAGGUUGGCUCCUUAUAAUUUACAGAAUCCUACAGUAAUAUUCACAGUGACUUGCUUCAACAGACUGAUAAGUUUACAUUUCUGACAAGCAUAUCUAAGGGACACUAAUCACCUCCUAAUAGCUAGUGCAAUAAUGCCUUAAUAUUCCAAAUCCACAAGAAGCACCUUCUAACACGUUACUCAAAUACUAGCAUGCAAUGUUAACCAUAUGAGUCUAAGAACAACUUGAGCAAUCAAAAUCAUCAACACUCAUAGUACUAUUUGAGGAAGGAAAAUGAUUUCUUCUUUGCGGUGAAACAUGCAUAGUACUAUGCUAGUGGACAUGAUUGACUACAAAUUAAGAAAUAUUGCACAUGAAGGGAUUCUAGAAAUGGAAUACCAUAGAUUUGGGAUGAAGCUGAUACCACUGACGUUUCUGAUUUGCCAUGACCUCAGGAUUAAAAUUUGGCAGGGAAUUUUCAUCGCGGGAUCUGCCACUCCACCGCCAGGCCUUUUGCACGUGACACUUCAACUUCUGAAAGCUACUACUACGUUGAAAUCCUUUAGUAACAAGUUCACUUUGACAGCGUCUAUGAGCACCAGGCCCCAUUUGUGGCAUGCUUGACCCAACACCAUCACCGCCGCCGCCACCACUGGAGUACAUAUUCUGCCAUGCUUCCCCAGCAACUCUGAAUGCUCCCUCAGAUAACUGAUGCAGAACCCACAUCGGCGACGAGGGCCUCUCCUCAUUAGGUUCGGCCUCUUCUUUUGUGUCCAUAUUUAUAUACACCUAGCUCAUGCUCCCAAGUUUCACUUCAACAUUCAAAGGCAGCCUCAAAAUUACAACACCAUAACAUACCAUUCCACUGAAUUUUAUAAUUCUACCACAUAAUAAUUUGAAAUGAGGAUACCCUAUCAAUUAUUCCAAAGGUCCUAACUUUCUCACACAUAACUGAACCCCAAUGAACGUUUGAUAAAAUUCAAUGAUGAGAUAAUCUUAUGAUUCUUCUGGGGUGGUAGAUUCUGUUAUAUUUUUCCUCUUUCCUUUUCAAAAAUUCAAACUUUUCCACCAGAAUAAUAAUGGGCACCAACCUGUUUCUGAAUUCUGAAACGAAGAAUAAUAAUAAUUGCCAAUUCUGCUAUUAAUGGCAGCAAAACCGUGCAAAGAAUGAAAGAGGCGAAUCAAACAAUUUACACCGCCAACAAUGAGCAACGUAUGUUACUUGUAACGGAAACAAGAGUCAAUAAAUGCAGGGCAAUUGACAAGCAUGCAACAUGGCAGGCGUUGUGAUGAUGGGAAGAAAACCAGAAGGAACAAAAUGUACCUCUUUUUUGGUGGUUCCUAAGGCUUCUUGACAGGACAGAGCGAGAGGAGGGGGAGUAGAGAGAGAGAUGCUAAAUAUAGAGGUGGAAGAGGGAAGAAGGAGAUGGUUAUUUUGGU
rnacentral:lncRNA from 1 species